UGCGUAGGUGGUUUGUUAAGUCAGAUGUGAAAGCCCCGGGCUCAACCUGGGAAUUGCAUUUAAAACUGUCCAGCUAGAGUCUUGUAGAGGGGGGUAGAAUUCCAGGUGUAGCGGUGAAAUGCGUAGAGAUCUGGAGGAAUACCGGUGGCGAAGGCGGCCCCCUGGACAAAGACUGACGCUCAGGUGCGAAAGCGUGGGGAGCAAACAGGAUUAGAUACCCCUGUA
rnacentral:rRNA from 1 species